rnacentral:rRNA from 1 species
AUAGUUUGAUCCUGGCUCACAUUGAACGCUGGGGGUUUGCUUAACACAUGCAAGUCGAACGGUAACAGGUCUAGCUUGCUAGAUGCUGACGAGUGGCGGACGGGUGAGUAACGCGUAGGAAUCUGCCUUUUAGUUUGGGACAACACGAGGAAACUCGUGCUAAUACCGGAUAAGCCCUUCGGGGGAAAGACUUCGGUCGCUAUUAGAGGAGCCUGCGUUAGAUUAGCUUGUUGGUGGGGUAAAGGCCUACCAAGGCAGAGAUCUAUAGCUGUUUUGAGAGGAAGAACAGCCACACUGGAACUGAGACACGGUCCAGACUCCUACGGGAGGCAGCGGUGGGGAAUAUUGGACAAUGGGGGAAACCCUGAUCCAGCAAUACCGCGUGUGUGAAGAAGGCCUGAGGGUUGUAAAGCACUUUAGUUGGGGAGGAAGACUACUUCGGUAGUUUGACGUUACCCAAAGAAUAAUCACCGGCUAACUCUGUGCCAUCUGCCUCGGUAAUAAGGGCGAAUUC